UUAGAUGUUGUGAUUUGUCCAAUUUAUUUCAGAAAAGGCUGCAUUCAGAAUGGAAAAAUGGAAACAGUAUUUAGGGGUAUUCCAGCACGCUGAAAUAAUGAGUAUACAAGAUAUGACAAAAAUAUUGAGCUUGACAUAUGGCCUGGGGGGUAUUGCAUAAGAGUAGAAUUAAGAAAGCCAGGAUAACAGAACAAUCGCGGCUUGACCUAGUUUAAUCAGUGCAUCCUGGCUCAAUCCGUUGCACGUUUGCUAAACCAGGAUGAGACCGCGCGGAUAUGUCAAACCAGGUGUAUAUAGUUUGGAUAAAUGCCCGUUCACGGCAUUCUUAAAAAGAUCACGAAAUCGAUCACAGAAUCACCGAUGGAAAAAUGGAAAUCACCCGUGCGGCAUACUUUUCACCAACUGAACAACAGCUUCUUAUGGAAACUUAUGAAGAAGUAAAGCAUAUAAUAUGUAAAAAAUGCAAUACAGCUGCCGUAAUAAAGCAAAGAGAGAAUGCCUGGCAAACAAUAGCGGACCGAUUGAAUGCAACAAACACGUCUGGCCAAAAAGGACUUGGCAGCAAGUCAAUAUUAAAUACAAGAAUAUUUUGCAGGCUGGUAAAUGACUUGUUUGCGGAGAACAUGGGUGACAUGUUUGCUGACAUUUUAUUGUCUGUGCUGAUUUUAGCAAUAAAAAAAAGUCAUAUAUCUGGUACGGGGGGUGGCCCUCCAACCCAAGACUUCACCACAGCAGAGGAGCUGGCCCUGGACUUAAAUACAGGGAAGCCAGUGAUUGAAGGGAUCCAGGGAGGGACAGCCACUGACAGAGUAGUCUGUCAGCCAUAGCAGAGAUGGGCUAACUAAUGUCAAUGUAAUCCUGCAUAUGGUAGGUUGAUGUAAAAAUGAAUAAAGAAUGAAACAAGAAAAUACA